UACAACGGAGGAGGAAUUAAAAGGUCGUGUUUUAUGCAUCGGAAAAUAUGAUAAAAAAGAGGACAUUGAAGCUCAUCCUGUUUUCCAAAGUUUCAGGGACACGGUUGAAAAAACAGGCAUUCUGAUUGUCGAUACCGAAGGUCCCAGCCAAAGACGCUUGAAGAAUCAUCGAUUUCCUCUUGAAGAUGAUACGUCAAUGGUCGAAGUUCUUCAACUGGGUGAUAUCCUUGGAAAAGUGGUCAUAAUCCAGACACUUCAAGAUUGCCGAGAAGAACACACAGGUUACAGAUGUUUAAUCCCCUGUCCCAAAAUUGGGAAGAAAUUCGGAAAGAAGAUGUGAUUUCCCUUGUCUCUUGGACAACUACUUGCAUAUCGCAAGUCUGGGCAAAACCGAAGGAAUCUGAAGAUCCAUGGCUUUGGAGAUUUCCCAGAGUGCGUCAGGAGCUGGUUGAAUUCGAAAUCGGUUUUUGUUGUCCAGAGUGAUGUUGCUUGUCACUCUGGCACAUUCGGUGACAAAGAACGGAUUGAUGGACUUUUGGGGUCGGACUGCAAUUCCUGGGUUGAACUCCAUAAUAUCCAUGCGAUGUUCUUUGGUGAGAGUCCCGGGAGUUUUAGUCAUUGCUAAAUGGAAAUCAAUCCCGAAGGGCAUCGAAAUCAUGUGAUAAGACACUCAUGGAUUAUUCAAAUAUUUGGAGGGAUGAAAGUUUGGAAAUGGAACCUUAUUCAAAGUGUUCAAACUCGUCAAUCCAUCGUUACAAUUAGCGAGUUGUUCAAGGAAAAACGGCUCAAAAAUAAGGAUUUUUGAUGCUCCAAGAGAAGAUCUAUUCUCACGAUGGCCAAGGGAAUGGGUCAAAUGUGAUGUGGGGGAUAUUUUGAUCGUUGCCCAAACAUUGUGGAGUGCGACACUGGACUUGAUGACACUCCAAAACCUCCCUGAGGAUGCGAGUGUGCUUGAAUACGUGAGAUAUAUUCUUCACAUUCGCAAGGAAGAGCCGUCCCUUACCGUAGCCGCUGCCAAGGACCGUGUAUGGUCGUUCAAACCGUUCCGGAGCAAUAACGUUCCAGGGUGUGUAACAAAACUUGAAGGUGUCAUACCUCUCUCCCUAUCUUCCCGGUGGUCCAGGCUCUGAAGUUCCUCGUCCGAUUCGAAACAUACGUCAGGUAGUGGUAGAAUUGGCUGAUGACCAAUAUUAUCCACCUUUCAGAGCACACAACAUUCCAACGCAGUUCCGUGUGGAGAAUUACGAUCCCCUCGAAUUGGCUAAAGCAACUAGAGCCUCACCACCCAAGAGAGUAGCGCCGCAGAAUGUCAUUGCAGUUUUGAAAGAUGGAAACCAAUUCAGAAUGCCUUACUCUCAAUCAAAGCACUUCCUUGCAGAUUGCAAGAAGACACCGGAUCAAUUUACAUCGAAAUUGGUCCCGGGAACGUCACUACGUGUCAUCAAACGUGACCCCGGUAAAGAGAGAGACCCAGACCUCUUUGGGGUGUGUGGUAGAUGUGGCAGUUCAGAACAUGUCAGAGCUUGUUGUGAUGUUGCCGAAAGUGAUCUCGAUUGUCUCUACCCUCUGUGUCCUUUGAAGAGAGAUCACCAGACGAAGACUUGCCGCACUCUUCAUCACGUGUGCUCUAUGUGUGGGAGGCGAGGUCAUCAAAGAAUUCACCACGAGUCAUUUACGCCCAUCGAAUUGAAGAAUUUCUUCGAUUACUUUUCGCCUUGGGGAUUCUAUACAUGCCUACCGAUAUUGAAUGGAGUGGAAAGCUUUCCAAGUAAAGACGCUGAUUUUCGGUUUGGUUUCUUUCUCGUUUCCAAGAUUACGGUCCAAUGAAUGCCCAUGUUACUUGGAUUCGGCCAACGUCUGGUCGAAGAAGGCGUUGUUCCGAUACUUUGGUGAAGUCCGAUGGACUUCAGGCCGGAGAUGAUGUGGUGUGAACUCGUCGGAAAAGAGGGCGAGAGUGAGGAAUCCUCGUGAGAAGAUCAUUGUGAGGAAACGAACCCCAAUGAUGAGUAAAAACAAGUUUAGUUGCAUUUUUCAUCUUCCAGAAGAAAGAGUUCGUGAAAGAGACCAAAGUCUUCUUAAUUUAUGAAGUCUAAAACUCGUAGUUUUUGGUGUAUAAAUUGAUUAGAGUGUAAAUUAGGGCUCGAUCAUCUUGGGCUUAGUUGAUUAAGUUCACACCCUUUGAUUGGUAUUCAUACGUCAGGAGAAUCCAAUCAAUCCGGACUUGGCCCAUACUACUGGAGGGCCAAAUCCAAAACAACUUACCAUCGUCAAACAAAGUUCUAGAUCUUAGAGUAAGGGUUUCGGAAACACAAUUAUCUUGACCAGGACUACACCUAAAUCCUUCGUGGAUGAGACCUGCUCAAUGUCCUUACCUUCAUCUUCUAAUAGUGGAGUGUCUAAUGACGUCGACCCAAAGGUCAUUGAGCAGAAUUUCAUUCCAUUCAGUGCCAUAUUACUCGCAGCAACCCAGGAGUAGAUUUGGUUUGGGACCUCUUACAGACAACCAGAGUUCUGACUAUUCCUACCAACUACCAAUUUUGUAUCAUCAGCAUAAAGAGAGGUACUGACAUUACUACUACCAAGCUUCUGAAGCGGAGCAAUGAAGAUGAUGAAAAGGAGAGGACCCAAAAUGGAGCCCUGAGGGACGCCCGACUUGUCAUCAUAACUCCCUAGCCACCCUCCGUGUCGAGAAAGAGUCUCAAAUCACGUUGGUUUCAUCCUUGAAGAGACGCUUGACAGAUUUGGAGAUGAAAGAAGAGGAUGACAUUCGCGAGCUCGAAAUGGAACGGUCGCUUCUCAUCGCGGAAUGGGAGCAAGAGACAUAUGCUUUAAACAGGAUUAAAACGAGUAUAUCAGAACUAUCCAAGUUGGAGGAGAAAUUGACCCGGACGUUGACUGUUUGGCGAGCCGAAUCAAAUAAGGAUAUCGAGGAAUGCCGGAGCAAACUCCAGAGCGCUGAUGAGGAAUUUCAAAGUUCCAGGAGAGUGCCACUGACAUGACCAACUGCCUGACUGCCUGACUGGCCGACACAAUGAAUAUUGUAUGAAGCAGGAAGCUCACGUUCCAAAUCUGCCAAGGAGUGAAAGACAAAGAGGACAGGCUAGGAUCACUUGAUC